GUUGUGGUGGUUGCUGGAGCUGUUUUGGUGGUUGCAGCAGCUGUUGUGGUAGUUGGAGCAGCUGUUUUGGUAGUUGCAUCAGCUGUUGUGGUAGUUUCUGGAGCUGUUGUGGGUGCUGUUGUGGUGGUUGCAGCAGCUGUUGUGGUAGUUUCUGGAGCUGAUGUGGUGGUUGCAGCAGCUGUUGUGGUAGUUGGAGCAGCUGUUGUGGUAGUUUCUGGAGCGGUUUUGGGUGCUGUUGUGGUAGUGGUGAGAGCUGUUGUGGGUGCUGUUGUGGUAGUUGCAGCAGCUGUUGUUGGGGCGAUUGUGGUAGUGGUGGGAGCUGUUGUGGUAGUGGUGAGAGCUGUUAUGGGUGCCGUUGUUGUAGUUGCAACAGCUGUUGUGGGGGCGUUUGUGGUAGUGGUGGGAGCUGUUGUGGUAGUUGCUGCAGCUGUUGUGGUGCUUGCAGCAGCUGUUGUGGUAGUGGCUGGAGCUGUUGUGGUAGUUGUAGUUGCUGAUGUGUGGGCCACUGUGGGUGCUGUUGUGGUAAUGGUGGUAGCUGUUGUGGUAAGUGCUGCAGCUGUUAUGGGGGUUGUUGUGGUGGUUGCAGCAGCUGUGGUUGUUGUAGUCGCUGUAGUUGCUGUUGUGGGUGCUGUUAUGGGAGCUGUGGUAGUUGCAGCAGCUGUUUUGGUAGUUUCUGGAGCUGUUGUGGGUGCUGUUGUCGUAGUGGUGGGAGCUGUUGUGGUAAGUGCUGCAGCUGUUAUGGGGGCUGUUGUGGUGGUUGCAGCAGCUGUGGUUGUUGUAGUCGCUGUAGUUGCUGUUGUGGGUGCUGUUAUGGGAGCUGUGGAAGUUGCAGCAGCUGUUUUGGUAGUUUCUGGAGCUGUUGUGGGUGCUGUUGUGGUAGUGGUGGGAGCUGCUGUGGGUGCUGUUGUGGUAGUUGCUGCAGCUGUUGUGGUAGUUGCAGCAGCAGUUGUGGUGGUGGUUGCAGCAGCUGUUGUGGUGGUUGCAGCAGCUGUUGUGGUAGUUGGAGCAGCUGUUGUGGUAGUUGCAUCAGCUGUUGUGGUAGUUUCUGGAGCUGUUGUGGGUGCUGUUGUGGUGGUUGCUGCAGCUGUUGUGGUAGUUGCAGCAGCUGUUGUGGUGGUUGCAGCAGCUGCUGUGGUAGUUGCAGCAGCUGUUGUGGUGGUUGCUGGAGCUGUUGUGGUGGUUGCAGCAGCUGUUGUGGUAGUUGGAGUAGCUGUUGUGGUAGUUUCAUCAGCUGUUGUGGUCGUUGCUGGAGCUGUUGUGGUGGUUGCAGCAGCUGUUGUGGUAGUUGGAGUAGCUGUUGUGGUAGUUUCUGGAGCUGUUGUGGGUGCUGUUGUGGUAGUUGCAGCAGCUGUUGUGGUAGUUACAGCAGCUGUUAUGGGGGUGAUUGUGGUAGUGGUGAGAGCUGUUGUGGUAGUUGCAGCAGCUGUUGUCGUAGUUUCUGGUGCUGUUGUGGUAGUUAUAGUUGCUGUUGUGGGAGCCAUUGUGGGUGCUGCUGUGGUUGUGGUGGGAGCUGUUGUGGUAAUUAAUGCAGCUGUAAUGGGGACUGUCGUGAUGGUUGCAGUAGCUGUGGUUGUUGUAGUCGAUGUAGUUGCUGUUGUGGGUGCUGUGGGUGCUGUGGUGAUAGUUGUAGUUGCUGUUAUGGGGGCCGUUGUAGUAGUUGUAGUUGCUGUUGUGGGGGCUGUUGUGGUAGUUGUAGUUUCUGUUGUCAUGGUUGCAGCAGCUGUUGUGGUAUUUGCAGCAGCUGUUGUGGUGGUUACAGCAGCUGUUGUGGUAGUUUCUGGAGCUGUGGGUGCUGUUGUGGUAGUGGUGGGAGCUGUUGUGGGUGCUGUUGGAGAAGGAGAAGGAGAAGUGCUGUUCACUAAGGAGAAGUGCUGUCACUUAGGACAUCU
ensembl:lncRNA